ensembl:miRNA MIR422A microRNA 422a
GAGAGAAGCACUGGACUCAGGGUCAGAAGGCCUGAGUCUCCCUGCUGCAGAUGGGCUGUGUGUCCCUGAGCCAAGCCUUGUCCUCCCUGG